rnacentral:rRNA from 1 species
UACGUAGGGGGCAAGCGUUGUCCGGAAUCAUUGGGCGUAAAGCGCGUGUAGGCGGUUCGGUAAGUCUGCUGUGAAAGUCCAGGGCUCAACCCUGGGAUGCCGGUGGAUACUGUCGGACUAGAGUACGGAAGAGGCGAGUGGAAUUCCUGGUGUAGCGGUGAAAUGCGCAGAUAUCAGGAGGAACACCAAUGGCGAAGGCAGCUCGCUGGGACGGUACUGACGCUGAGACGCGAAAGCGUGGGGAGCAAACAGG